AGGACGAACGCUGGCGGCAUGCCUAACACAUGCAAGUCGAACGGAGAUUAUUUCGGUAAUCUUAGUGGCGAACGGGUGAGUAACGCGUAGGCAACCUGCCCUUAGUUGGGACAACAUCCCGAAAGGGGUGCUAAUACCGAAUGUGACAGUUUUUCCGCAUGGGAUUACUGUGAAAGAUGGCCUCUAUUUAUAAGCUAUCGCUAAAGGAUGGGCCUGCGUCUGAUUAGCUAGUUGGUGGGGUAACGGCCUACCAAGGCGACGAUCAGUAGCCGGUCUGAGAGGAUGAACGGCCACAUUGGGACUGAGACACGGCCCAGACUCCUACGGGAGGCAGCAGUGGGGAAUCUUCCGCAAUGGACGAAAGUCUGACGGAGCAACGCCGCGUGAACGAUGACGGCCUUCGGGUUGUAAAGUUCUGUUAUACGGGACGAAUGGCGUAGCGGUCAAUACCCGUUACGAGUGACGGUACCGUAAGAGAAAGCCACGGCUAACUACGUG
rnacentral:rRNA from 1 species